rnacentral:lncRNA from 1 species
AUAACAUCUAUAAUCCAAUAAGAAGUCCAGAAACUCUAAAGGAAAAAAGUCAAACUAUAAACAGAAUUUUCACAGGAAAGCAUAAAAUUAUUCAAACUAAAAAAAAAAGAAAAAAAAGUUCAACUUUACUACUAACAGAAGAAAACUAUACUGAGAGAGUAUGUUUAUAACCUAUUUAAAAAUUUAUGUUAGUUUUAUUAAACAUUAUUAUGUUCUGGAUAUUAUUGGUACAAAAGGGGAAAGCAAGUAAUUUUGUUGAGAGAGGUGUGAACUAGAACAAUCACUAAGGAAUUGUGCGAUGAAUUCUGGAUUUACUUACCCAACCACCAAUUUACUUACUCUCCUAGUUGCAGAGAUUGAAAAAUGAAUACGAUGUUUCCCAGAUUUUUUUUUAGUAGGUAGAUUCUAGAUGCUAAUUAGUUUUCCUCUGUAAUAUACUUUCUCAAGAUUUAAAGGGCAGAAGUAAGGCAGAGGCCAUGUUCCUUGAAUCGUGCAGGGUGGCAGGAAACAUGUUUGUGCCACAGUGAUCAAGCAUGUGUCCUCCAGCAUACUGGAUAUGGAGAAGCAGUGGUCGGGGCAGCAGCUUCUUAAUUUGAUAUUUGAAUCCCUGGAUUGUGGUAGAUCUUUCUCCAGCUUCCCACGAGUGAGAGGUUAUACUGGUGGCCUCUGAUUUCUGGUAUGAUCCUUAAUGACUCCUAUCUCCACAUUGGUUGUAGCUAGGGGUUAUAGUUCCAUUAGUGAAUAAAUUGUUUUACUAUAGGAUUCACUCUUGAAGGCUUAACCCAGGUUACUAAACCCAACUCCUUCAACUGUCCUAAUGCCUUCAUAAACAUGAAUUCCAAAACAAGUGAAUUGUUUAAAAAUAUCUAGAAUGUACCUGAUGUGGUAGCACACACCUAUAAUUUCAGUGGCUUGGAAAGCUGAGGCAGGAGGAUUAUAAGUUCAAAGCCAGCCUCAGCAACU